GAAAGUCCAUUUCCAGAUCUUGAUUCGAAGAUCCACUUUGCAUUUCACAUUUGAAGUAGUAGCUUUAGUCGGAGUUUUGCCGGAAGGAACAGUAAUUUUAAUACCACUGCAUUUAACUCGAAUUCCGACUUUCUUCGUUUUCAAGCUUCCAACUUUGACUUUAACUUUUGUAUCAAGCUUUAUCUCCAAUGGCAGACUCUUCUUAUUCUUCAAUUUAGAUUUCAGAUUAGAAAUCGCAGAAUCGUCCAGGUUUUUUCCUGAACUUGACACUACUGUCUUCAACGUCGUUGUGUUUUUCCUAUUAUGCGUAAAAGCCGGUAACGAUCCGUCUCCGAUAUCAACAUCGGCGGAAUUGAACGAAAUGUUAAUAGGAUCGUAGAAGAAAGAGAUCUUUUUGUUUGGAUUACGAGCAACAACGGUGAGACUGAAUUUCGACGCGAGUUUCGUAGAAGUAAGAUUUAAUUGAGAGACUUGAAGAGUAGAAACAGAGAAGGAAGGCCUCUGAGGACGGUAAAGUACCCAGAAAAUCGCACCGGCAAUUGCAGCAAGUAGAACAAUAGUGAUUAUGAAUAAGGUAAUAAACAGGCAACAACAACAACAGCAGCUCCGUCGGUGUUUACGGCGGGGAGGCGGCAUAGGACGGUAAGUAGGUCUAGCAGCGUUGUAAAGUUGAGCUUUGUUCGCCGGAAACGUCUGAUUAGCUCCGCCGUUGGCGGCGGCGGCGGCGGCAGGAGCGGGAGCCGGAGCAGCAGUGCCAUUAGGAACAGCUGGUUUAGCAGCUGGGUAUACUCUAUCCGCCAUAAUAGAAACUUUUGGAAGAAGAAAAAAAUUAAGGAUUAGGGUUUUCUUUGUAUGUGUGUUAUAUAUAGAGAAAAAAUGGAGAAUAAAUUAAUGGUGAAU
rnacentral:misc_RNA from 1 species